rnacentral:rRNA from 1 species
GACGAACGCUGGCGGCGUGCCUAACACAUGCAAGUCGAACGGUGAAGCUGGAGCUUGCUCCGGUGGAUUAGUGGCGAACGGGUGAGUAACACGUGAGCAAUCUGCCCUUGACUCUGGGAUAACUGCGGGAAACUGUAGCUAAUACCGGAUACGAGACCUGAAGGCAUCUUCGGGUCUGGAAAGAAUUUCGGUCCAGGAUGAGCCCGCGGCCUAUCAGCUUGUUGGUGAGGUAAUGGCUCACCAAGGCGACGACGGGUAGCCGGCCGGAGAGGGGGACCGGCCACACUGGGACUGGGACACGGCCCAUACUCCUGCGGUAGGCAGCAGUGGGGAAUAUUGCACGAUGGGCGAAAGCCUGAUGCAACAACGCCGCGUGAGGGAUGAAGGCCUUCGGGUUGUAAACCUCUUUUCGCAGGGAAGAAGCGAAAGUGACGGUACCUGCAGAAAAAGCACCGGCUAACUACGUGCCAGCAGCCGCCGCGG